CACGAGGCGAUCGGACGUAGAUCGGUAGGGGAGAGAUCUUUAUGCGCACCCCAGAGUUCGAACCUUAAGGUUGUGCCGGAACCCAACAUCCGACACCCUCGAUCUAUUCUCUACGACGACGGGAACCAUGCCCCAGCCGCCAUCGUGGAUCUAGAGGAACCGCAGCCGAGAUGCUAGAGAAGCCGACGCCGAGGUAAUAAAGGAUCCGUCGCCGCCUUCAUUGCACACCUCCAGGGCGCCGUCGGGACACAGCCGCCGAGGUCUGCCAUCACCGACGUCGAGGUCUGAGAGGGGCAUGACCCUAGGGAGAUCUUCGUCGAGGUUGUCGCCGCCGCCGAUGUCGCCUGCCCAAGGUGAGAUCCUAGGGCAUGUCUCCUCCUCUCCUUGCAGCACUAUGCUCUGUCGCGAGGCUGGCGGGUGGGUCGAUGGACGGAGAGGAAACGUAUGGUGUCGUCGAUCCGUCCUGCAUGUGGAUUCACUGGAUGCGUCUUGGUGGAAUUUGGUGGUUCUCAAUCUUGGUCUUCUUUUGUAUGCCGGAUACACAACCGUAGCAGAUUCGGGUACCAAUUUGAUGAUGUGCUCAUAACUGAUCUUGCUUGGACAGAACAAGAAACUUAGACUGCGGUGUGGUGGUCAAUAAAUCAUGUCAAAUGCUGUAGGGUUCUCGAAGUAACGAGUUUGCUGCUGCUUCAAGGUUGGAAGAAACAUUCAACUUCUACCAUACUACCAGUCCUGAUGUAGCUAAGCUUUUCCACAUUGACCCUGUAGCCAAGUGCACCUCUGUAGUCUUGCUGAAGAAAUAGGAGGAGAAGUUGAAUGUAUAAGGUGUCGUGGCCGGAGGCCACAUGGACCCCACCUCCACCGCAGGGGCGACGUGUAUUUCCUGUUGCUUCACCGCCUUAUAGCCAAGCAAACCAGGAGUGACCUCCUCUCCUACUACACCAGCGGCCUUCACUGGCUCUGGAGACAUGGUGGCCAUUGACACUCCGACGCUGAUGAGUAAUCAGUUCCAUCAUUGACAUAUAACCUGAAAAGUUGUUGGGCAGGAUGGGUUCCGUUGGCGUUGUGGUCCAGACACAAUAAUUCUUUGAAGCAGCGCUGUAGUGGAAUGAUGUAAAAAAAGUGUGAUGUGCCACAGUUUUGAUGAAAUGAUUUCUAGCUACUAUGAGGAACGAAGCUUAAUCGGUGACUGCACUCUUUUUAACCAAGCUUCAGUCUAAGGACCACCACCCCUUCCAGGAUGUUUCUAUCCGGCAUGAAAGCAGUUUGGGAAUGCCGCACCACAGAAUGUGCAAUCUGUGUGAGCUGAUUCGUCCCAACCUUGGUAAAUUUUUUGAAACUAACAAGGUUUUAUUUUCAAGUUUGACGUCUAAUUGCUCCCUUCUUCUUGAUGCAUAAUUUUCAGCAAUCAAGGUUGGUUGCUACCUUACCCUGUCCUCGCAUAGUUAAGAGAAAUCCAAUUUAAGGUUUUAUAAUUAAAUACAACGCCAAGAAGCACUACCGCGGGCAUCAUGUGUGCUUGAAAACAAAUCUUCUCUUUUUCUAAAAGAGUGGUAUCAAUUUGUUCGGAAUUAGAAUAUUCCUCUUUUUGAAACACUCACAUGUCUUUUGAUUAUUCUAACCUGGGACUAAGUACAGUUGGAUGCAAGCUUGAUAUGUAAGUACGUUUUAGUUUAAUUAUUAGUCCUUGACCAUGAGCAAGAAUCUAGCUAGAUGGGCUUUCAUGUUACACAUAUAUGCUUGUUACUGUUUUGCGAGCUAAUGUCUAUUAAUUAAUUAGUUAGAUGCUUGAAUUAACCUGUAAUUUGCUAACUAUUAUUGGUUAUCACCAUCCAUCGUCUUCGUUUGGUUGUAAGUUGUUGACCAUUAGCAAGAAGCUAGCUAAUUGUGUGUGCAUGCCACACACGUGCACAUAUAUCAGUUGUUGCGAGUUAAGAUCAUCUGCCAACUACCUUUAUAUGUAAUUGUGUGUUGUAUUCUCACUGCUUCCAGUAGAUACUAUCAUUUCAGAAUUCACCUAAAAUUUGCAAAGUUCAAAUUUUUGGGAUCAAAAUACAACUUUUUUUAAAGUUAAGCCAAUAUAAAGUGUGUGCAGGUUGACUUUUAAAACAUUUUUGCUUACAAGAAGCUUAUCAGUUGUAAUGUUUAGCACCUACAUAACCUGAUGGUCUUGUAGUGACUUGGGAUUGGCGAUUAAAGAAACAUGGGUAUCGAGCAUAUUAAUGUGAGAAGUAGAUAUACAAUAUGUUAUAAAGGAGAAGACAAGUAAAUAUUGAGUGUGAAAGAUAAGUAUGAUUUUUUACUAUAAUAUGAAUUAUUGAAUUUAAUCUGAUAUUCAACCCCUCAAAAUUAGAUUUAAUACGUGCUACUACACCAUUACUUAUCUCUACUAUUAAAGGAGAAUUUGACAAGUAAUCAGGCAAGUCAGCACUAUCGUCGAUGGAAGUCGUCGUGCGGAGAUGGAAGUUGACAAGUAAGUUUCUCCAUGAAGUUGAUCUGAUGUGAAGCUUGUGCCAGAUAAAAGUGGGGAUGCAGAUUGGGCAUCAAGUGUACGACAGAGGAUGACAAACAAUUACGUUCUUCAUGACCAACCAAGGAAGCGAAGCAAAUCACAACCCUUUAGUUCAUGGUCUAGGAGCAGUUAAUUAUCCGCUUUCAAGUAUUUGUUGCCGAAGUGAGCAUCUAAUUGCAGGAAUUCUGUGAGGGCUUCUCUACACUGGUACGGUCUCUCACUGGUACACGAUUUGAGGCAUAGGAGGGAGGGGCACAUUGCGAUGUUGUCUUUGGUCACGGCUAUAGCUUAUGAGAAGAAUGGGAUUUAUGCUUUGGCAGACUGCCCCGUGGUUAGCAAGUCAUUAUUGCCGCCUCCGCUUCCCAAGUUGCAUCGGCUUGCUGUUGGUGUGUGCUGCUUCUGCAGCUCCUGUCGGCCGCCUCUUAGGUUGGGUUUUGCUGCCACUACUAAAGUUUCCAUUGCCAAGGCAAGGUGUCGUCGUCUUGCUUGCAAGGCACACAUUGCACCGCGGGCAACAUUUUGUUGUGUAUUAACCCCUCAAGGAGAAGAGGGGGGAGAUGGAAGUUGUAGGCGCGUGCCCCCGUCCGACCGUCGUUAGACCAGGAUGAGCUAGCGGCGGUGGUCGUCGAGGACUCUAAUCAUCCGCGGAUUGUCGUGGCGUAGUGGUGCCACCGAGGGCACCAACAUCAGCAGUAGAUGCAACAACGGCGGAGGCGGUAAGAGACAUAGGCCAAGGAUAGGGAUAGAGCAACUCAGCCGCAAUAAUUUUUUACUAAUUAUGAGAUGUUUCUUAUUUAUUCUUGAUAUGAUCUACUCCCUACAUUUCAUAAUGUAGUGCUCUUGAGAGGUGGAGCAUUAAAGAGCAAAUCAACUGGGCCCAGGCCUUCAUGGCUUCGUCCCCUACUUUCUACUGAUCCAUGCCAACUGCAUAGUUAUUUACUUUGGAAAUGCCUAGAUAUAUUUCACAUUUAACAGAAAAGCUCACACUGCAAUUGUCUGUACGAAGUUAUGUUUUGUUUUCAUUAUUUGUUUAUGUAACUCAGUUUUGGACUUGGUACUCAUCUUGACAAUAGUGUUUUUAGAUGGUGCUGGGGAAUAGGUUCAGUUGAGUGGUGGAGUUAGCACUUGCUCAUGGUCAUGGAUGACUCUUCCUCAUUGAUGGAUGUAUGUUUAGUACUCCGUCAGUUUCAUAAUUCCUGUCGUGCUUUUAGUUCAAACGAAAACCAUGACAAUAAUUAUGAACAGAGGGAGUACUUAUUUGUCGAACCUGAGUUAAUUAGUACGUGCAUGGUGUGUGGUAACUACUCUUGCAUUUGAAAAAAAAAUUGUGCUUUU